GCCAACAAUCUAGCCCAUAAAAUUUAAAUACUCUUCCCCACUAAAUAAAACUUAAUAAAACAUUUUAACUUUAUAGUAGAGGUGAUCAAAAAAUUUCUUAGCGCUUCAGAUCAAGUACCGCAAGGGAAAGAUGAAAUAAAAAUGAAAUAAACUUAAGCAUUAGACAGUAGAGUUUCUCUCUCGUACCUUUUGCAUCAUGGUCUAGUUAGUCUAACUAAGCAAAGUGAACUUUAGUUUAACCCCCCGAAACUAGGUGAGCUACUUCGAAAUAGCCUUCAGGGCUAACCCGUCUCUGUUGCAAAAGAGUGGGAAAAUUUCCAAGUAGAGGUGAUAAACCUACCGCACCAAGAGAUAGCUGGUUACUCAAGAAAAGAAUAUUAGUUCUACCUCAAGUUUUUUAAGUCUUAAUAAACCUCAACUAAACUUAAGAGCUAUUCAAAUAGGGCACAGCUUAUUUGAAAAAGGAUACAACCUACUAUAUUGGGUAAUCAAUUAAGAAAAACUGUUAAGUGGGCCUAAAAGCAGCCACCUUCAAAAAAGCGUUAAAGCUUUACUUUUAUUCUUUAAAAAUAACUUUAUUAUUACAUAACCCAUCAACAAUAUUGAGUAAUUCCAUAAAAAUAUGGAAGAUAUAAUGCUAGAACUAGUAAUAAGAAGUAGAACUUCUCCAAAAUGUAAGCCUAAGCCACCUUAGACACCCUACUGGCAAUUAACGUUUAUGAGUCCACUUUAUUAACACCACAAGAAAACUUUAAAUACCACAACGUUAAACUUACACUAGAACAUUUAUGGAAAGAUCAAAAGAAAAAGAAGGAACUCGGCAACUAUUAACCCCGCCUGUUUACCAAAAACAUCGCCUCUUGCCUAAAUAUAAGAGGUCCAGCCUGCCCAGUGACAAAAUUUAACGGCCGCGGUACCCUAACCGUGCGAAGGUAGCAUAAUCACUUGUUCUUUAAAUGAGGACUUGUAUCAACGGCAUCACGAGGGUUAAACUGUCUCCUUUUUCAUAUCAGUGAAACUAAUCUCCCCGUGAAGAAGCGGGGAUAAUCCUAUAAGACGAGAAGACCCCAUGGAGCUUUAAACCCAACUACACCCCUCUUUAACUUUACCUUUAAACACCCGGGAUUUUUGUAUGUUCUGGUUUUAGGUUGGGGUGACCGCGGAGCAUAAAUUAGCCUCCACAAUGAAUAGAUUUUUCUCUUUAUCCAAGACCGACACUUCUAAGAAUUAGUACUCUAACAUAAAAUGAUCCGAUAUUCGAUCAACGAACCAAGUUACCCUGGGGAUAACAGCGCAAUCUACUUUAAGAGCUCAUAUCGACAAGUGGGUUUACGACCUCGAUGUUGGAUCAGGGUAUCCUAGUGGUGCAGCAGCUACUAAAGGUUCGUUUGUUCAACGAUUAAAACCCUACGUGAUCUGAGUUCAGACCGGAGUAAUCCAGGUCGGUUUCUAUCUAUAAAGAGUUACCUCUAGUACGAAAGGACCGACGUAACAUGGCCCAUGCACAAACAAGCCAUCCUAUUUUAUCAAUGCGUAUAACUCAAUUAUUCAUAGUCUAUAAUCACCCCCUAGACAAGGGUUU
rnacentral:rRNA from 1 species